AUGAUGUUCUUCGCGGGUGUAUCAGUAAUCGUCGACGGCAAGCUCGUGCACGCCACCACCUCCCCGACUACUGCCAGCGCCAGCGGGUACCACUUGCUUGUUGUUGAAGGCCAGUCGUGCACUCCAGAACCUAUUAAGUCUCGCUGUUUCAUAAUCGGAGGCCAUCGCUGGUACAUCAUGUUCUACCCCAAUGACGAACACCUGAACAACAAUGGAUAUAUAACCCUUUGGCUUCACCUCCAUAAGGAAGAGGCACCGGCUACAGAGACCGUGAAGGCACAGUUCAAGUUCAGUUUCGUUGACGAGACCGACAAGCACAAGCCGGCAUGCAUCCAUGGUAGAAAAUUAUCCGAGUUUGAAGCUGGCGGCAACGACGAGGGACGGGAGGCAAUGGGGAAAUCUGAACACCUCAAGGACGACAGUUUCACCAUCCGGUGCGACAUCGUGGUUGUCACGGAAGAAGUGAUCACCACCACCGGACCCACGGCCACCGCUUCUUCGUUAAUUGUGGUGCCGCCGUCCAACAUGCAACGAAACUUCACCGAUCUUCUCCUGACCGGAGAGGGCACCGAUGUGGCCUUCCGAGUCGGCGGCGAGACGUUUGCCGCCCACCGAUGCGUUCUCGCGGCCCGGUCUACCGUCUUCAGGGCGUUGCUCUUCGGUCCGAUGAAGGAAGGCACGUCCGCCAUGGUGCAGAUAGAUGACAUGAACGCAGCAGUGUUCAAGGCGAUGUUAGGGUUCAUCUACGGAGACUCACUUCCUGCACCAGCAGUGCAGGACGAGGACGUCGUUAUGCUGCCGCACCUUCUUGCUACAGCCGACAGGUACGACCUGCUGAGGCUGAGGAUGAUGUGGGAGAAGAAGCUGUGCGAGCACAUCAACGUGAGCACCGCGGCAGUCAUCCUGGCGCUCGCCGAGCAGCACGGCUGUGAAGGGCUGAAGAAGGCAUGCAGCGAGUUCCUCCGGUGUCCAGACAACCUGAGAGCGGUGCUAGCCACGGACGGCUUUGAUCAUUUGUGCAGGAGCUGCCCCACUCUCAUGAAGGACAUGAUACUUGGUGUGCUGCCGCCUGCCGGCUAA
rnacentral:rRNA from 1 species